rnacentral:sRNA from 1 species
AAUAGAAGACCUCAGUCUAGGAACGCCACGUCCUGUGGCAACGACCGAGUGGCAAACAUCAUG